rnacentral:rRNA from 1 species
GUGCCAGCAGCCGCGGUAAUACCCGCAGCUCAAGUGGUGGUCAUUAUUAUUGGGCCUAAAGCGUCCGUAGCUGGUUUGUUAAAUGCCUGGGUAAAUCGAUGCGCUCAACGCAUCGAAUUCCGGGUAGACUGGCAAACUCGAGACCGGGAGAGGUGUAGGCUACUCGAGGGGUAGGGGUAAAAUCCUGUAAUCCUUCGGGGAGGACCAGUGGCGAAGGCGCUACACUAGAACGGCUCUGACAGUGAGGGACGAAGCCCUGGGGCGCAAACCGGAUUAGAAACCCCUGUAGUCC